GCUUGACAAAUUGGAACUGUACGAAUUGUUGAUUGUUCCUUAGACAGAGCAAAAUUUUGAAGGUAUUUAGACAAAGCAAUGCUUAACCUGUUUAGUCGACUUAAGCUGUCACUGGUUUUGUAUUCUAGAAUUCCUUUUGUCAGUAUAAAAAUUGAUAUAGUGAUGGCUGAUGAUGGAGGAUUUCUUCACUAGUCAACGCAAAAUAAUGGGCUAGUGCAGAUAAUAAGGAUGAUUUUUAUAUUUAAGAAUUGAGGAUUUCAUCAGCUAGGACUCACUAUCUUCUAAUAAUGGGCAGAAACGAAGCACUUCCUAUGUGCUGAUUAUAGCUGUUUCCUUGGUACGUUCAAUCCUUUGCUGUUAAAUUUCAGCAUAUAAAUGAGAUAUAAAUGACUAGUAUACGGUUAUGAUGAUUGAUCGAGUUCUCUAGAUUGGAGUUCACAUGUCUGAACAAUCCAUUAUAGCCAAUUUUUCAGAUACAUGUGGCGACCACAUUUCUAAUUAAUUCACUGUAGUUAUCUUUUUUCAAAUUUCAAAUCGAUGUGGCCAGUGACAUUUCUAAUUAAUUCAUGUAACCAAAUUUUCAGUUUGUUGUGGCAACUUCAUUUUCCAGUAAAGAUCAAGACUGCCAUUUUUCUUGGCUUCACAUAAGAAGAUAAUGCUAUAUUGAGCUCGAUAGCUAUGUAUAACGGCAUGGUGCUACAUACAGUCUGGACUUUCUUCCUUCUCAACGAUCUUUUUAUCUGACUAUUUACUGACAAUGAGGGAGUGAGAAUUCUAUCCUGGUUGAGUUCAGAACCUCCUAGUAAGAAAUAAAAAUAGUUCAUGUAAUUUCUUUACUCCUUGCCCAUUUCACCUUCUGAACGAUAUUGUUUUGAAGCUUCUGUCUUGUGGAACUAGACCUCCUAGUAAGAAAUAAAAAUAGCCUGCGUACUUUUGUUGUUACUCCUUGCUCAUUUCACCUUCUCUUCGGUGUGAUCUGAAUGUUCUGUUUGUAGCACUUUUGAUUCUAGACUAUCAUUUCGUGUGUGUUUUUGUUGUUUAUGGAUGCAGUGUUUUUUAUUUAGCGAUUCGGAUACAGGGAAGAAGGCCAGAUUAGGCCAGAAGGUGCAUGGGGAGCAGUGGUUUCAUAUAUUCCCUUGUGAUUUGGGCAUUUGGUGAGAUCAGUGAUCUCCUGAUUAACAGGAGCACCACUGGAGCAACAUCGCAGGGUGGGUGUUUCACCGACCAGCAGUGCCCACUGCCCAGGACAUGCCGCUGGCCGCAUGAUCUCUUCUGCCAUCAUGCCACGGUCAAGUAUAAGUUCUCUUUUUGUCAGUUUUUUCUGCAUUUCAGAUGAAGUAUCAGCAAUAGCUGAAGGCCAUAUGAAGCAGGUCGACUAGCUGACGACGACAAGGAUCAGUAGAACCAGAGGAUGACGCUUGACAUCAACAGCUGGUCUGGACAAGGAAAUGGGCCUUCAUAGGGACAAGGAGCUUUCUCUGUAUCUCUCAUUUUUAUGACGACGUAUGGUUGUGACUGGCGUAAAACUAUUGUAUUUAGGAUGCUCACGAAUAAGAUAAACCGGUUGUAGCCAAGUUAUUAUACUUACAUUUCCAAUUACUAGUUUAUGCCAGCACGAAGAUGAUGGCGUAAAACAUCUGUAUUCAAAUUGGAAAUUUCUACUAGGAUUAGGAUACCCAUGAAUGAGAUGAGCCAGUUGCUGCAGAGA